rnacentral:lncRNA from 1 species
UUCAUUUUUUUUUUGUUAUUUUCUAGUUUGAAUUGUGUUACAUUUGUCCUUUCGGGACCUUUUAUAGCUGUAUAUGCGGUAUGGGAUUUGAUCAUUGUUGUAGGCCGUACGAUGACCCAUAGUUAAUAAUUUCCUGUGUCAAUUGGUCAUUUGUGGAGAACUGUGUUAUUUGCAAUCAUACCACAUCUCCUAUUUUAUUAAUAUAUUUUCAGAAGAAUAACGCAAAAAUGUUGAAUAUAUUUAUUUGGUUUUUUUAUUAUCUCCAUGGCACGUUCUGUCAAAUCAUUUGGGAAUAAACACUGAAAUCAGCUUUUUUUUUUUUUAAAUAUUUUUAAACUGACCAUGCGCAGAUUUAUUUUCAUAUCUUCAUAAAACGCUUGGAAUGUUAUAUCGAUUGAUUGAUUGAAAAGUCGAUCGCGAUGUAUCUAAAGCGUUUUCACUUGAAGAAAAAUCGGUCUUUUAAAACUACAUCUGGAGAUGGAAAGUUUACGUCCGAUUGAAGAUCGAUCUUUCUCAUUUUUGCAAUACUAAAGAUCGGCGAUCUCAGAAAUGAUCGAUCUGUAUUGUUAGUGGAAACGGAG